CCCGACAUUCCCGGGGGCGGGCGCAGCGGGCCGGGAGGGCGGGGGAAGAGGUGGCGCCCGGCCCAAUCGGCUCUCCCUCCUCCCGCAACCCGUAGGCAGCAGCCCAGGCGCCCAGAAGCGGGGCUUCCCGUGCAGGGACCGCCCUGCCCCCUGGGGACUGGGCUGGAGCCUCCCCCGCUCGGAGGAAAGCACCGCCGGGUUGUUGUGCAGACAGACGCCUAGUAAGGCGCUCGGGCCUCUGUUUGGUUCCAGCAGAAACGAAAGCCCGGAAGGCGGAUUCUGAAGGCAGAGAGCGCUGAGAAGACACGGAGGCCCUUGAGUGGCGUGGGGAGGAGAAUGGGUGCAAUUUAGGGCAACUCAGGAUGGAGAGGCGCACUGGGGCUGCGGUGGGCUGACUUCUGUUACGGGAGUGAGCGUGUCCUCUCUCCUGGGACUGGCUGCGCGCGGGAGUUGGGGUGCAUCCUGGCUGCUCAUCAUGGACAUUCAGGGCAGCUCCCUACUCUGACCUGGGACUCCAACCUGAGGGAGCAGGGGAUCCUUCCCACAGAGGCGCCGGGCUAGGAGUGUCCCUCUCUAGGAGCAGGUCCAUAGUGAUCGGGAAGGCGCCAAGGAAGAUGACCUACAUUGAGAAAUGCCCUGGGUCCUACUUUGCUCAAUUCCCUCCGUUUUACUGGCAGCUCUGGUACAGGUGGCAGGGCCUCUUCUGGGAGAAACAUGCUUAAGGCUUUUCUCCGACUGAUUUUUUUAAAAGUCAUCCAUCUGUCCUGACAUGGACAAAGGGUCAGGAAAUAGUAAGUGAACGAUAAACUUUUAAAGUUGCAGAACAGAGUACAUAAUGUAACGCCAUCUUUGGGGAGAAAAAUGGUUUAGUUCUCUGCAGCUGGACUAAUGUGUGGGAGGAAAAACACUGGUCAACCUUAUGGUAUGUCCACAGAGAAGAAGAACUUACAUUCUUUAUUUUAUUCACUUUGAUAUGAUUUCAUCUGUUUAACACUUUAAAAUAUUAUUUU